GUCCACGCCGUAAACGUUGGGCACUAGGUGUGGGCUCUAACCAACGGAGUCCGUGCCGCAGCUAACGCAUUAAGUGCCCCGCCUGGGGAGUACGACCGCAAGGUUAAAACUCAAAGGAAUUGACGGGGGCCCGCACAAGCAGCGGAGCGUGUUGCUUAAUUCGAUGCGACGCGAAGAACCUUACCUGGGCUUGACAUGUAGGGAAAAGCCGUGGAGACACGGUGUCCUUCGGGCCCGUACACAGGUGGUGCAUGGCUGUCGU
rnacentral:rRNA from 1 species